ACUCCUGUAGCCCAACGGUCAGAGGCGAUCGCCUUAGAAGCGAUGCGUUGCAGGUUCAACUCCUGUCAGGAGUACCA
rnacentral:tRNA from 1 species